CGGAGGAAGGUGGGGAUGACGUCAAAUCAUCAUGCCCAUUAUGACCUGGGCGACACACGUGCGACAAUGGGCGGUACAAAGGGUCGCGAACCCGCGAGGGGGAGCCAAUCCCAAAAAGCCGCCCUCAGUUCGGAUUGCAGGCUGCAACUCGCCUGCAUGAAGCCGGAAUCGCUAGUAAUCGCGGAUCAGCAUGCCGCGGUGAAUACGUUCCCGGGCCUUGCACACACCGCCCGU
rnacentral:rRNA from 1 species